AGUAAAAUGGUUGAGAAAUAAACAAUAGAUUGUAAAUCUAUUUACGAGGAUAGACUCCUCUUUUGCUA
rnacentral:tRNA from 1 species